rnacentral:lncRNA from 1 species
AGGGAGUGCACAUGAGCUGAUGAUGACCCAGCUAUGUGCGAGUAGGGAGUGCACAUGAGCUGAUGAUGACCCAGCCAUGUGUGGAGGAGUACACAUGAGCUUAUGAUGACCCAGUUAUGUGCGAGUAAGGAGUGCACAUGAGCUGAUGAUGACCCAACCAUGUGUGGAGGAGUACACAUGAGCUGAUGAUGACCCAGCUAUAUGCGAU